UACGUAGGGGGCUAGCGUUGUCCGGAAUCAUUGGGCGUAAAGCGCGUGUCGGCGGUCCGGUAAGUCCGCUGUGAAAGUCGGGGGCUCAACCCUCGGAUGCCGGUGGAUACUGUCGGGCUUGAGUACGGAAGAGGCGAGUGGAAUUCCUGGUGUAGCGGUGGAAUGCGCAGAUAUCAGGAGGAACACCAAUAGCGAAGGCAGCUCGCUGGGACGGUACUGACGCUAAGGCGCGAAAGCGUGGGGAGCGAACAGG
rnacentral:rRNA from 1 species